AUACGGAGGGUGCAAGCGUUAUCCGGAUUUAUUGGGUUUAAAGGGUUCGUAGGCGGAUCAAUAAGUCAGUGGUGAAAGCCUGUGGCUCAACCAUAGAACUGCCAUUGAUACUGUUGAUCUUGAGUACACUUGAAGUGGGCGGAAUGAGUUAUGUAGCGGUGAAAUGCAUAGAUAUAACUUAGAACACCGAUUGCGAAGGCAGCUCACUAAAUUGUAACUGACGCUGAGGAACGAAAGCGUGGGGAGCGAACAGGAUUAGAAACCCUAGUAGUCC
rnacentral:rRNA from 1 species